rnacentral:rRNA from 1 species
GAUGAACGCUGGCGGCGUGCCUAAUACAUGCAAGUCGAGCGAACAGACGAGGAGCUUGCUCCUCUGACGUUAGCGGCGGACGGGUGAGUAACACGUGGAUAACCUACCUAUAAGACUGGGAUAACUUCGGGAAACCGGAGCUAAUACCGGAUAAUAUAUUGAACCGCAUGGUUCAAUAGUGAAAGACGGUUUUGCUGUCACUUAUAGAUGGAUCCGCGCCGCAUUAGCUAGUUGGUAAGGUAACGGCUUACCAAGGCAACGAUGCGUAGCCGACCUGAGAGGGUGAUCGGCCACACUGGAACUGAGACACGGUCCAGACUCCUACGGGAGGCAGCAGUAGGGAAUCUUCCGCAAUGGGCGAAAGCCUGACGGAGCAACGCCGCGUGAGUGACGAAGGUCUUCGGAUCGUAAAACUCUGUUAUUAGGGAAGAACAAAUGUGUAAGUAACUAUGCACGUCUUGACGGUACCUAAUCAGAAAGCCACGGCUAACUACGUG